rnacentral:rRNA from 1 species
UGGCAGACGGGUGAGUAACGCGUGGGAACGUGCCUUUCGGUUCGGAAUAACUCAGGGAAACUUGGGCUAAUACCGGAUACGCCCUUCGGGGGAAAGAUUUAUCGCCGAAAGAUCGGCCCGCGCCAGAUUAGCUUGUUGGUGGGGUAACGGCUCACCAAGGCGACGAUCUGUAGCUGGUCUGAGAGGAUGAUCAGCCACACUGGGACUGAGACACGGCCCAGACUCCUACGGGAGGCAGCAGUGGGGAAUAUUGGACAAUGGGCGCAAGCCUGAUCCAGCCAUGCCGCGUGGGUGAAGAAGGCCCUAGGGUUGUAAACCCCUUUCAGCGGGGAAGAUAAUGACGGUACCCGCAGAAGAAGCUCCGGCUAACUCCGUGCCAGCAGCCGCGGUAAU